AAUAGAUACCCUGGUAGUCCACGCCGUAAACGAUGAGUGCUAAGUGUUAGAGGGUUUCCGCCCUUUAGUGCUGCAGCUAACGCAUUAAGCACUCCGCCUGGGGAGUACGGCCGCAAGGCUGAAACUCAAAGGAAUUGACGGGGGCCCGCACAAGCGGUGGAGCAUGUGGUUUAAUUCGAAGCAACGCGAAGAACCUUACCAGGUCUUGACAUCCUCUGCCAACCCUAGAGAUAGGGCGUUCCCCUUCGGGGGACAGAGUGACAGGUGGUGCAUGGUUGUCGUCAGCUCGUGUCGUGAGAUGUUGGGUUAAGUCCCGCAACGAGCGCAACCCUUGAUCUUAGUUGCCAGCAUUUAGUUGGGCACUCUAAGGUGACUGCCGGUGACAAACCGGAGGAAGGUGGGGAUGACGUCAAAUCAUCAUGCCCCUUAUGACCUGGGCUACACACAUGCUACAAUGGAUGGUACAAAGAGCUGCAAACCCGCGAGGGUAAGCCAAUCUCAUAAAGCCAUUCUCAGUUCGGAUUGUAGG
rnacentral:rRNA from 1 species